rnacentral:rRNA from 1 species
GAGGCAUACCCAGGGAACUGAAACAUCUAAGUACCUGGAGGAAGAGAAAACAAGAGUGAUUCCGUCAGUAGCGGCGAGCGAACGCGGAACAGCCUAAACCAGAGAGCUUGCUCUCUGGGGUUGUGGGACGUCUCACAUGGAGUUACAAAGGUUUAGAUUAGACGAACAGGUCUGGAAAGGCCGGCCAUAGAAGGUAAAAGCCCUGUAAUCGAAAAUGUGAACCCUCCGAGACGGAUCCCGAGUAGUGCGGGGCACGUGAAACCCCGUAUGAAUCCAGCAGGACCAUCUGCUAAGGCUAAAUACUCCCUAGCGACCGAUAGUGAAGCAGUACCGUGAGGGAAAGGUGAAAAGCACCCCGGAAGGGGAGUGAAAUAGAACCUGAAACCGUGUGCUUACAAGAAGUCAGAGCCCGAUCGAUGGGUGAUGGCGUGCCUUUUGUAGAAUGAACCGGCGAGUUACGUUCCCAUGCAAGGUUAAGGCGAGAAGCCGUAGCCGCAGCGAAAGCGAGUCUGAAUAGGGCGACUUUAGUAUGUGGACGUAGACCCGAAACCGUGUGAUCUACCCCUGUCCAGGGUGAAGGUGCGGUAACACGCACUGGAGGCCCGAACCCACGUACGUUAAAAAGUGCGGGGAUGAGGUGGGGGUAGCGGAGAAAUUCCAAUCGAACUCGGAGAUAGCUGGUUCUCCCCGAAAUAGCUUUAGGGCUAGCCUCGGAAAUUAGAGUCGUGGAGGUAGAGCACUGAUUGGGUGCGGGGCCCGCAAGGGUUACCAAGCUCAGUCAAACUCCGAAUGCCAUAGACUUAUAUCCGGGAGUCAGACAGUGAGUGCUAAGAUCCAUUGUCAAAAGGGAAACAGCCCAGACCAUCAGCUAAGGUCCCCAAGUGUGUGUUAAGUGGGAAAGGAUGUGGAGUUGCACAGACAACCAGGAUGUUGGCUUAGAAGCAGCCACCAUUUAAAGAGUGCGUAAUAGCUCACUGGUCGAGUGACUCUGCGCCGAAAAUGUAACGGGGCUAAACACACCACCGAAGCUAUGGCUUGAUCGAUUCAGGGGUAGGGGAGCGUUGUAUGCAGGUUGAAGGUGUACCGUAAGGAGCGCUGGACAGCAUACAAGUGAGAAUGCCGGUAUGAGUAACGAAAAGAUCAGUGAGAAUCUGAUCCGCCGAAAGCCCAAGGUUUCCUGAGGAAGGCUCGUCCGCUCAGGGUAAGUCGGGACCUAAGGCGAGGCCGAAAGGCGUAGUCGAAGGACAACAGGUUGAAAUUCCUGUACCACCGUAAACCGUUAUGAACGAUGGGGUGACGCAGGAGGGUAGUGACGCGGACUGAUGGAUGUCCGUCCAAGCAGUGAGGCUGAUGUGUAGGCAAAUCCGCACAUCGUAAGGCUGGGCUGUGAUGGGGAGUGAAAAUUACAGUAGCGAAGGUCAUGAUCUCACACUGCCAAGAAAAGCCUCUAGUCAGGUGAAGGUGCCCGUACCGCAAACCGACACAGGUAGGCGAGAAGAGAAUUCUAAGGCGCGCGGAAGAACUCUCGUUAAGGAACUCGGCAAAAUGACCCCGUAACUUCGGGAGAAGGGGUGCCUCGGUAGGGUGAAUAGCCCGAGGGGGCCGCAGUGAAAAGGCCCAAGCGACUGUUUAGCAAAAACACAGGUCUGUGCGAAGCCGCAAGGCGAAGUAUACGGGCUGACGCCUGCCCGGUGCUGGAAGGUUAAGGGGAGCGGUUAGGGGUUAAACCCGAAGCUGUGAACCGAAGCCCCAGUAAACGGCGGCCGUAACAAUAACGGUCCUAAGGUAGCGAAAUUCCUUGUCAGGUAAAUUCUGACCCGCACGAAUGGCGUAACGACUUGGGCGCUGUCUCAACGAGAGAUCCGGUGAAAUUUUAAUACCUGUGAAGAUGCAGGUUACCCGCGACAAGACGGAAAGACCCCAUGGAGCUUUACUGCAGCUUGAUAUUGGAUUUGGGUACGAUCUGUACAGGAUAGGUGGGAGCCUUUGAAGCAUGAGCGCCAGCUUGUGUGGAGGCGACGUUGGGAUACCACCCUGAUCGUAUCUAGGUUCUAACCUGGUACCGUGAUCCGGUACGGGGACAGUGUCAGGCGGGCAGUUUGACUGGGGCGGUCGCCUCCUAAAGAGUAACGGAGGCGCCCCAAGGUUCCCUCAGAAUGGUUGGAAAUCAUUCGAAGAGUGCAAAGGCAUAAGGGAGCUUGACUGCGAGACCUACAAGUCGAGCAGGGACGAAAGUCGGGCUUAGUGAUCCGGUGGUACCGCAUGGAAGGGCCAUCGCUCAACGGAUAAAAGCUACCCUGGGGAUAACAGGCUUAUCUCCCCCAAGAGUCCACAUCGACGGGGAGGUUUGGCACCUCGAUGUCGGCUCAUCGCAUCCUGGGGCUGAAGUAAGU